rnacentral:rRNA from 1 species
AGCAGGGGAUCGCAAGACCUUGCGCUAUUGGAGCGGCCGAUGUCAGAUUAGGUUGUUGGUGGGGUAAAAGCCCACCAAGCCGACGAUCUGUAGCUGGUCUGAGAGGACGACCAGCCACACUGGGACUGAGACACGGCCCAGACUCCUACGGGAGGCAGCAGUGGGGAAUUUUGGACAAUGGGCGCAAGCCUGAUCCAGCCAUGCCGCGUGCGGGAAGAAGGCCUUCGGGUUGUAAACCGCUUUUGUCAGGGAAGAAACGCUCCGGGCUAAUACCCUGGGGUAAUGACGGUACCUGAAGAAUAAGCACCGGCUAACUACGUGCCAGCAGCCGCGGUAAUACGUAGGGUGCAAGCGUUAAUCGGAAUUACUGGGCGUAAAGCGUGCGCAGGCGGUCUUGCAAGACAGAUGUGAAAUCCCCGGGCUUAACCUGGGAACUGCAUUUGUGACUGCAAGGCUAGAGUACGGUAGAAGGGGAUGGAAUUCCGCGUGUAGCAAUGAAA